GCUCCUUCCUUCGUGUUCUCUUAUCCUACCUCUUUUUAUGGGACAGCACAUCUCAAAAGCCCUUGUCAGAUGGUGGUGCCAGACUGUGGCCUCCAAGCCAUGAACCAAGACCCCCCCAGAACAUUUGCUUGAUAUGUAUGUGAACAAGACAGAAAAUACAGAAGACAUGAGACAUGCCUAAGUGGAGGUGGUACUCGAACGGAACAUGUGUAUUAUGGUGAAUGGCUCAGCAACCACCCACAGGGAGACUUCUGGUCAAGGCUCUCCCUCCUGCCUCUGUGUGUACUUGUGGUUCAUCUGCCCAAGUAGACUGGCAGGAAUCAGCUUUCCUCUCUGGGUGGACCUUCAGCACUUCCAUUAUUUAUCUUCUGGAGCCAGUCCAUCAUCACAACUUUGGUCAGAGAAACUUCUCUUUGCCGUGGACAGCAGUUAAUGCAGAGAUUCAAUCCAGAGAGCUGAGAGUGCUGAGGGUCUGAUCUUGCCAUUCAACCAGAAGAAUGCCUUUUCCACUCACUAAGAAAAGGAAAAUACAAGUCAGAAACCCACAGAUGCCAGCCUGCCCCAGCAGCCUUGCCUCUUCUCCUGCAGCUCCUUGGCUGCAGCUGCCUCUUCCCACAGGACGUUCUGAGACUCUGCAGGGCUGGGGAGAAGUGUGGCCCAUGGGUGCCUUCACGGGAGAGAAGUAACAAAGUCAGGGCACAGAAGCCACAGUACAAAGAACAAGCUAAAAACAAAACAAGAAAAAAGAAACCCGAACAACAAAAUCACAAAAAACCGGAGAUGUAGUGAAGUGGUCUAGUGUUUGCUUUGAAUACCUCAGAUACCAAACCAAUCAAAAGAAAUACACGGAACAUUCUCCACAGAAA